UGGCUUCCGAGAACAGGAUUCACACUAGUCUGUUAGCACAGCACAACAUUCCAUAUGGCCACACACUCCUCCUCACUGUUUACAAAAGGUUGCCACAAAUGAGUUGAUGUGUUCAUCCAUUUCCUCUGAAAUCCUGAGAAGAGGAGAAGCCCUCGCCUGGGAUGCCUUACAUGAGGAAGCAUAAAAAUACUAAACACAUGUAAACUCGUGAGCUGGAAUUCUCUGGCUCCAGUUAGGCAUGGGAAUUAGGCAAGGCUGGAGGAACUGCAAACCAGAGCCAAGUGAUGAUUGAUCUCUGUCGCCUCUUUCCUGCUUUUGUCUCGUGCUCUACAGAUGUUCAGCUGUGUCAAAGCAUCUUCAUAACUUCUCCAAGGCCAAGGAUGCUGAAAGAUGAUGGAAGAAAAUACCUGUUCAGCCACAGUGUAUGCCCAUGAAUUCUGGCUGCUGCUUGGG